GACGAACGCUGGCGGCGUGCUUAACACAUGCAAGUCGAACGGUGAAGCGCCUUCCUUUUUGGUGGGUGUGGAUGAGUGGCGAACGGGUGAGCAACACGUGAGUAACCUGCCCCCUUCUUCUGGAUAACCGCAUGAAAGUGUGGCUAAUACGGGAUAUUCUGGGUCUGUCGCAUGAUGGGUCUGGGAAAGAUAUUGUUUCGGUGGGGGAUGGGCUCGCGGCCUAUCAGCUUGUUGGUGGGGUGAUGGCCUACCAAGGCGGUGACGGGUAGCCGGCCUGAGAGGGUGGACGGUCACACUGGGACUGAGACACGGCCCAGACUCCUACGGGAGGCAGCAGGGGGGAAUAUUGCACAAUGGGCGAAAGCCUGAUGCAGCGACGCCGCGUGAGGGAUGGAGGCCUGCGGGUUGUGAACCUCUUUCGCCAGUGAAGCAGGCCUGCCUCGUUUGUGGGUGGGUUGACGGUAGCUGGAUAAGAAGCGCCGGCUAACUACGUG
rnacentral:rRNA from 1 species